GUUGUGGCUCAGUGGUAGAGCACUCGCCUAAGACGUGCAAGGCCAUGGGUUCAAAUCUCAGCACCACA
rnacentral:tRNA from 1 species